GGUUUUUUCUUGUUUUGUUUUUUUUCUAAAUUUGUGGUUUGCUUUCAUCCAGGGCACACAAAAAACACCUGUCUCAAGACGGAAGAUUUCCUUCGCACAUUUCUAUCUUCAGCAGAAGAGAGAGUUCUUGGACAGAGAGAGAAACAGACUCCAGAGGAAAUUCCAGUGCGAGACAUGAUGGAAAAGACUGAGGGACGACCCGCAGGCAUACUUUGUAGAGGAUUGGCUGAACACCAGGUGGACUAAAACACUUUCAAGUCUGAGUGUUCUGAGCUAUAAAAUACCUUCUGGCAUUAACAUUUUUAUCUGAACAAACAUCUCUCUGAGUUUGGUCUAUGAUAUGUCUAAUGGUGCA